AUUGAACGCUGGCGGCAGGCCUAACACAUGCAAGUUGAGCGGAGCGGCGGACGGGUGAGUAAUGCCUAGGAAUCUGCCAGGUAGUGGGGGAUAACGUCCUGAAACGGGCGCUAAUUCCGCAUACUAUCAGCGUAGCCUAGGUCGGAUUAGCUAGUGGGUGGGGUAAAGGCAUACCAAGGCGACGAUCCGUAACUGGACUGGGAGGAUGAUCAGUCACACUGGAACUGAGACAGGGUCCAGCCUCCUACGGGAGGCAGCAGUGGGGCAUAUUGGACAAUGGGCGAAAGCCUGAUACAGCCAUGCCGCGUGUGUGAAGAAGGUCUUCGGAUUGUAAAGCACUUUAAGUUGGGAGGCGUUACCAACAGAAUAAGCACCGGCUAACAUCGUGCCAGCAGCCGCGGAAAUUC
rnacentral:rRNA from 1 species